ensembl:lncRNA
AAUUAGUUUAGUUCAGGAUUAACAUGAGCAUUUAAAUAUACUACCCAAGCAUCCAUUUUGUUUGUACACACUUUAGAGCCAUUCCGAAUACAUUUGGGAUUAAAUGUCAAUACACCUGCCGGUACUUUAAGGGGCAGCAAAGGUGCCACUCUGAGCAGUCAGGGCUCCUACCAACAUCCAUGACCGUAAAACCCACCUAUAAAUGACUCACUUGCAACAGUUGUCAAAAUAGUCUGCAACCAACCAAACAUAAAAGUGCCCUUAAAAUGACCCAUCUCGGCUUGUCUAGUUUAAUGUAGUGAUAUAACAGAAAUAUAUAUAAAGACUUGGUGAAAGGCAAGUGCUGCAGAAACUGGACAGAAAAAUAUAAAUCAUGAAUGGAGUCAAUUUAAUGUUUAUUUUUUGGGUUUCUUUUCCUCUAGAAGUUUCUGCUCUUCGGUUUGCUGGGCCAUCAUUGUCAUAUUCUUCUCAGCCCGGCCUUCAGGCUGAGGAGACUCGUGUUUCAGGCUUUGGCAGGUCCGAGGGCACGCUAGGUAGAGUAGGCGCCUUCUGUGCCACAUCAGCUGUAGUCACAGCUUCAUCAUCACCACUGGUCUCAUCCUCUUCUGCCAUAAAGAAGAAUGUUACAACUCAUUAUAGCAAAAAUAUUGCUAGUUUCAAAACCUCAAUCAGCCCUUUAUUUACUGUACCUUGUUUAGUAGUGACAUAUUUCUCUGCUUUGUUCAACUCCUUGUGGACUCUCUGUUCCAAUGACGGCAGCAAACGCUCAGGUACCAGUCUUUCGUCUAGAUCUGCAACAGAAAAAUAGAUGGAAGGCAAUUUGUAGGGCCGAGUUCAAGGUACAACCUCUGUUCAAUUGAUCUUUCGGAUUCUUACCCUUUUUAGACCCCAUGCCCAUCUUUGGGGCCAUGCCACUCCUCCACUGGCUUCCGUGGAAAGCAGAGCUUCCCAUUUUGGAGAUUAUGGGAGGGACAUCCUCUUUAGGGAUGAAGCCACUUUUCUUGGUUGGCAACACCAGGAUGGGACCCACACGUUCUUCAUCGUCAUACACU